GUUUCUGCUCAGAGUCAGCAGAAGUCUCCUCCAUGUGGGAUCUCCCCUCUGCCCCGAUGUCAGGAAACUCAGCAACUCCUGCAGACAGGUCAGAUAAUAACGCCGCAUCUUUCUGGCAGUGUCCUGCCUCUCCCUCUGCACCUCCAUGCAGAUCAUCUCUGCUGCUCGCUCCCGACUCUCCUGAAGUCGUCAAGUAUUGCUGCUUCAUCUCCUCGAGGCCCUGCUGAAGAUGUUGCUGGUGAUCAGAAGUCCUGUAAACAAAAACAUUAAAUCUGUAGGGGUUAUUUGACUGAAAUUCAUUACCACAACUAAUGGUAGCUAUGAAUGCUAAUGCCACUGUGCUCAUCUUGGAGCUUAAAAGAACAAAGGAAAUCUAUAUAUCAAAUAAAAGCCUCUUGUUCAUAUGCAUUGUUUUUAGUUUCACUGAACAGCAGAAGUUACAUACAAUUACCUACUGAAGUCAGGUUUCAUGAAUACAAAAUGCUUGUAAAAUUAUAAUCUGACUAUAGUUGAAAUGAUUAGUUGAUUAAUCAAUUAGUUGAUUGACAUGAAAAUAAUCAGCAGAUAUUUCCAUUUGGUGCUUAACUUUGUUUCACCUUGUAAUAAACUGAGUAUCGUCAGGUGUCAAAGCAUUGGACAAAACAAGCAGCCUGAUAACUCCACUCUUAUGGCACUGAGAUCUAUCAUUUCUGUAACGUUUGUAAAUGGUUAACGAUGUAACAAUAGAUGAGGGCAACUACGCAGUGAAACAAUAUUUCAUUCAAAUGGACUUUAUUAA